UAACGUAACUGAUAUAUACACAUUUACCAAGGUGUGCAGGUCGACUAUAAUGCCCCCCCCCCUUCCUUUUUUUAUUGCUUUACACUAAAUUUAAUCUGAAUGGUGGUUAUAGUUUUCCAGGACAGUGUGCUAAACAGAUGUUUCCAUUCCUAGCCGCUCGAGACGCCUGUUGUUCAAUACCGGAUUUUCUGCUCAUGCUUCACAAUUAUUCAUGUGCUUGUUUCUUUGCGUCACUCAUAUAAAAGGGCACGAUCCUUCAUUAAUAGAAUUUUAUCCCCACUAGGGCUGCGCACUGUUCCUCUUCCAUUGCGCCCUCAACCGAAGCGUCCGACGAGUGGCGAUGAGAAAGUUCAAGUCUAGCCAACUGUUCGACCGUUGUGUCCCGAUGCAAUGGCGGCGGAACAGCAACACCGAAGAACGCGGCAGUUCCUCUACGGUGAACUCCGACAGCCGCGUGAUCGCCACCAUCUUUGGCAAACGCGGAAGCCUGUCUUUCGCCUACGGGGAAGCUGCGGUGCACGACCCUAUGGCGGGAAAGUUCACCAGCACUAUAAACAGCAACCUAGCAAACACGCAUGACACUUAGUGACGGCAGGUUACACGGGCUUGGGAACAUUUCACCGAGUACACCAGGGCAGGUUCUCCUAUUGAUGUCGCUCUGCUUUGAAAAGUCUCAAAGUGGGCUGGUUAAAUUAUCUUUUUCUUGAACAUAACCAAUGCUUUCCUCUCUGCCAACACUUUUUCUUUCUCUUUGUUUAUUUAAAUGAAAGAAAUUAAUCAUUUUCUUUACAUAGAAAUACUACUUCCAUGCUCCGCAAACAGCAAAUAAAAUCGAUAGAAAACAUUG